GACGUAGGGCGCGAGCGUUGUCCGGAUUUAUUGGGCGUAAAGAGCUCGUAGGCGGCUUGUCGCGUCGACUGUGAAAACCCGCGGCUCAACUGCGGGCUUGCAGUCGAUACGGGCAGGCUAGAGUUCGGUAGGGGAGAUCGGAAUUCCUGGUGUAGCGGUGAAAUGCGCAGAUAUCAGGAGGAACACCGGUGGCGAAGGCGGAUCUCUGGGCCUUACCUGACGCUCAGGCACGAAAGCUAGGGGAGCGAACAGG
rnacentral:rRNA from 1 species